AAUAAUGUCACUACCCUUUUCCGCAUCAUUUACUAAAAUAAUGAUCUCAUUAUUUCCUAUUCUAGCAAAACCACCCAUCAGAGCCAUCGUUAACCAUUGGUCCUUAAAGCGUAUUCUCAAAAUCCCUAUAUCUAUAGCUGUAGCGGUAUCUGAAAACAUAUCUUGAGGACGCCCUAAAGCGCUCAUGGUAUCAUUAUGAAUAUAUAAACCAAAACUGUGAAAGCCUAGAAAGAUACAUGCCCAGUUGAGAUGUGAUAUGAUUGCAUCACGAUGUCUAAGGACACGAUCUAAUAGAUCGUUGUAUCGAGUAGUUGGAUCAUAGUCUUUUGACCUUUGAGGGGGAGCCUCU
rnacentral:lncRNA from 1 species